CGAGCUAAUUGUUGUCCCUUUGCUAUUUCAGGGAGAGGAUGUUCCUCUUACAGAGCAAACUGUCUCACAGGUGCUGCAGUCAGCAAAGGAACAGAUCAAGUGGUCACUACUGCGAUGAAGAGCCACACGGGAUUUGUCCCACUACUGUGUCCCCAGAUACCCUUACUUCCCUAUCUGUCUCGCACUGACCAAAAUAUAACAUGACCACAUUUUUUUGAUGUA